rnacentral:rRNA from 1 species
UACGUAGGGGGCAAGCGUUGUCCGGAAUCAUUGGGCGUAAAGAGCGUGUAGGCGGCUCGGUAAGUCCGCUGUAAAAGUCAAAGGCUCAACCUUUGAAUGUCAGUGGAUACUGCCGGGCUAGAGUCCGGAAGAGGCGAGUGGAACUCCUGGUGUAGCGGUGGAAUGCGCAGAUAUCAGGAAGAACACCCGUGGCGAAGGCGGCUUUCUGGGACGGUACUGACGCUGGAGACGCGAAAGCGUGGGGAGCGAACAGG